AUGGCUCAGAACGAACGCUGGCGGCGCGUUUAAGCAUGCAAGUCGAGCGGCAAGGGCCUUCGGGCCCCUAGAGCGGCGGACGGGUGAGUAACACGUGGACAAUCUGCCCCCCGGCCCGGGAUAGCCCAGGGAAACCUGGAUUAAUACCGGAUGAGACGGGACCCGCGAUGGCGGGAUCCGGGAAAGGCGCUGCGGCGCCGCCGGGGGAUGAGUCUGCGUCCCAUUAGCUAGACGGCGGGGUAACGGCCCACCGUGGCGACGAUGGGGUAGCCGGCCUGAGAGGGUGGACGGCCACAUUGGAACUGAGACACGGUCCAGACUCCUACGGGAGGCAGCAGCUAAGAAUCUUCCGCAAUGGGCGAAAGCCUGAACCGGAGCGACGCCGCGUGAACGAAGAAGGCCGUGAGGUUGUAAAGUUCUUUUCGGGAGGGGGAACAACCGUGGUAGGGAACGGCCGCGGGAUGACGUGAAUCCCGGAAUAAGCCCCGGCUAACUACGUGCCAGCCGCCGC
rnacentral:rRNA from 1 species